AUUGAACGCUGGCGGCAGGCUUAACACACGCAAGUCGAGCGGGGUGAUGGUGCUUGCACUAUCACUUAGCGGCGGACGGGUGAGAAAUGCUUAGGAAUCUGCCUAUUAGUGGGGGACAACAUCUCGAAAGGGAUGCUAAUACCGCAUACGUCCUACGGGAGAAAGCAGGGGAUCACUUGUGACCUUGCGCUAAUAGAUGAGCCUAAGUCGGAUUAGCUAGUUGGUGGGGUAAAGACCUACAAAGGCGACGAUCUGUAGCGGGUCUGAGAGGAUGAUCCGCCACACUGGGACUGGGACACGGCCCAGACUCCAUCGGGAGGCAGCAAGAGGGAAUAUUGGACAAUGGGGGGAACCCUGAUCCAGCCAUGCCGCGUGUGUGAAGAAGGCCUUAUGGUUGUAAAGCACUUUAAGCGAGGAGGAGGCUCUUUUGGUUAAUACCCAAGAUGAGUGGACGUUACUCGCAGAAUAAGCACCGGCUAACUCUGUGCCAGCCGCCGCCGUAA
rnacentral:rRNA from 1 species